GUCCCAUGUCUUUGGGUAACUUUGGAUCAUCUUCAUGAAACAAUAAGUAUUUUUCUAACAAUUUAACCGCAUCAAAUGCUGGUUGUUGAAUACUUGGUAUUACAACUUCGUCAGGUUGUUCUUUUCCUUAAUCUUCUUUUUUCUCUUCCUCGCCUUUUGUCACUGAAUUUAUGGAACCACGUCAACAUGACCUGGUUCAAGUCUUCAAAUUUCGGUUUUCUUAUUUUUUUAGAAGGACUUCCUUCUGUUUCGGCCGUUAAUAUGCUUUCCUUAUUCAUCCAGAUAGUAGUGCAGUGAUGAUCUGAAUCCAAAACGUCUUCCGGUAUCAUAUUUUUUUUUCACUUCUUCUGUCGCGCGAAUUAAAGCAAC